rnacentral:rRNA from 1 species
UUGAACGCUGGCGGCAGGCCUAACACAUGCCAGUCGAGCGGAUGAAGGGAGCUUGCUCCUGGAUUCAGCGGCGGACGGGUGAGUAAUGCCUAGGAAUCUGCCUGGUAGUGGGGGAUAACGUCCGGAAACGGGCGCUAAUACCGCAUACGUCCUGAGGGAGAAAGUGGGGGAUCUUCGGACCUCACGCUAUCAGAUGAGCCUAGGUCGGAUUAGCUAGUUGGUGGGGUAAAGGCCUACCAAGGCGACGAUCCGUAACUGGUCUGAGAGGAUGAUCAGCCACACUGGAACUGAGACACGGUCCAGACUCCUACGGGAGGCAGCAGUGGGGAAUAUUGGACAAUGGGCGAAAGCCUGAUCCAGCCAUGCCGCGUGUGUGAAGAAGGUCUUCGGAUUGUAAAGCACUUUAAGUUGGGAGGAAGGGCAGUAAGUUAAUACCUUGCUGUUUUGACGUUACCAACAGAAUAAGCACCGGCUAACUUCGUG